CUAGUCUCUCAUAGAAACUUCUGGCCUCUGGACACUGUGGGAGCAACUUUUCCUUUAUUAGACUGUCUCCUCUUUAACUGUACCUAGAAGAUACUUUAGCACAGCAAGCAUCUCUUUUAUGCUUACAUUAUGCAGUUAUGCAGACUUGGUGUACGUCCUUCAAGGACAGUCUAAGAAUCUUUGAUUCUAUUUCUGCUGGAUACAUUGUUGCAGAGAUGAAUAUUGCAGCAUGACUGGGAAGCCUGUCCUUCAUUACUUCAAUUGAAGAAGAAGAAUGGAGUCCAUCCGGUGGCUCCUGGCAGCAGCUGGAGUAGAGUUUGAGGAAGAACUUUUUGAAACCCAUGAAGAGUUUGAGAAGUUAAUCCAAGGUGGAACCCUGAUGUACGAGCAAGUGCCCAUGGUGGAAAUCGAUGGAAUGACUUUGGUGCAGACCAGUGCCAUCUUAAGAUAUGUAGCUGCAAAAUAUGACUUGUAUGGAAGGAACCUGGAGGAACAAGCCUGAGAAGGAGAUGAACCUUGAAUACAUCCUCCACCGAGCUACAACAAGAUUCUUCCCCGUUUAUGAGAAGGCCCUGAGAGACCACGGGCAAGACUUUCUUGUGGGCAAUCGGCUGAGCUUGGCUGAUGUCCAGCUCCUUGAAGUCAUCUUAAUGGCUGAAGAAUGCAAAGCCAGUGUUCUCUCGGGUUUCCCUCUGCUACAGGACUUCAAGGUGAGAACCAGCCAAAUUCCUACAAUUAACAGCUUCCUCCAACCUGGAAGCCAGAGGAAGCCUCCUUUGGAGGAGCGAUCCAUUGGGACUGCAAAGGACAUAUUCAAAUUUGAAUGAGGACUGUUUCUUAAAAACAUGAGCAAUAUAGUAGCUGAGUAUUAACAGCUACAGAGGCUGGAGUUACUCAGUAAGUAUACUGAGUAACUUGACACUGCAUUCAUAAAAAGACACUCACUAAGUAUAUGGCCAGAGAAAUAUCCUGAAGUUAGUAAUAAAUGUUAGGAAUCUUAGUAUGUUAGCAAUGUUAGAAUGUUAGUAAUGGAAAUAUUAAAUGUGUAAGAGAAAAACUACUAGAAGCUUAUCAAUAAACUACAAGAACCAACUCUUGUUUGAAGUAAGACAGGCUACCAAGACAGAAUUCAGAAAAUCCAAGGAGCCCUCGGCCUUCUGUAUGAUCCUAGAAUAAACUUGUAUGUAGCAAGUGAAA
rnacentral:lncRNA from 1 species